rnacentral:rRNA from 1 species
UACAGAGGGUGCGAGCGUUAAUCGGAAUUACUGGGCGUAAAGCGUGCGUAGACGGUUUCGUAAGUCGGGUGUGAAAUCCCCCGGGCUCAACCUGGGAAUUGCAUUCGAAACUGCGAGGCUAGGGUACGGAAGAGGGAAGCGGAAUUUCUGGUGUAGCGGUGAAAAUGCGUAGAUAUCAGAAGGAACAUCAGUGGCGAAAGCGGCUUCCUGGUCCAGUACCGACGUUCAGGCACGAAAAGCGUGGGGGAGCAAACAGG